GCCCUGGUUGAUUAAUGGUAAGUCACCCACACCCCUUAAGUGAAUGAGUUAGGACGGAUUGAUGUUGUAGACGGAGGUUCGAAUCCUCCUCAGGGCA